UUCAACUAAAAUCCACAAGGCUCGCACAAUCGCAUUUCAACCGUCGCCAUAUUGAAAGCGACUUGUUUAGUGUCGAAAUUUGAUUUAGAAUCAGGGCCUUGAUUUGAGUUGAUUUUAGCAGUUAAUAGUGUGUGGUAGGAAUUUUUGUGUUGUACGUUUCCUAUUCCGAAUGUCUCAAAAAAAAUCUCGCGAGAGCGAAUGUAUGUUUAUUUCCAAACAUAACCUUAUAAACAAACAGUUGUUUAUUUAGAGUUAUUUAUUAUUGUUUUCUCAUAUUUUGCAAUUGUUAAGUUGGUUUACUUCGAAUUUAAUAUGCAUUACUGUGGUAUUUCUCCAGUUUUCUAAGAAGGUUGGUGAUUUUGAAUUGGGAUUAUGAUGAAUUUAACCCAAAGGCAAUGUGUGUUUAUUUAUGUGGCAAAAUUCCAGGCACCAUAAAAAUUUGAGUUUCUUCCUGUUGCCCAUGGAUGAAAAUCGGGACAUCUCCUCUGAAGGAAUUACAAUUAUUUGCCAGUAUGUCAAAUGAAUUUUCAACAUCAGUCAUACUUUCAUGAAUUUAUUGAUGAAAAUAAAACUAGGUACAUGAUUUAUUAUUUACUUCCAAGGGAUUCUAAGAUACUAUGUGUAAAAAGUCCAAUAUGGAGUGAUGAGCAUGCUAAUAACUGGCAAAAUAUGGGAUAUAAUGCCAAAGAUGGGAAACAUGGGAUGCAUUCUGAAGUAAAAAGAGAUGAAACUGAGAGAAAUUAUUGAUAUAAACAUAUAAAUUAACAUUACAUUACAUAGUUUCCCACCUUUAGGCGUAUCAGAUGAGUAUGAGAACUGUCACUGUGACAGGAGAAUUUUAUAAAAUACUCCUGUCACAGAGAUCUAAAGGUGGGAAACUAUGUAAUGUUAUCGUCGGCUAAGAGUGUUAACCUGCUAACUCAAUUUUUCACUGUGAGUGAUAUUGGGGUAGUUUCUAGGUCUGUGUACCUUUGUACCAUGUUCCACAAGCAAGCUGGUUCCACUGUAGUUUAGAGAUAGCUAUUUCUAAACUACAUUGGUGUCAGCGGGUUUGUGGGGUGGUGUAUGAAAAUACACAGACCCAGAAACUAGCCCAAUAUCACUCAAAGUGAAAAAUGGAGUUAGCAGGUUAAAACUCUUAUCCAAGGUUAUGUUAAUUUAUUCGUUUAUAACGAUAAGUUCCACUUCUACCAGUUUCAUCUCUUUUUAUCUCACAAGUUAAUAUGAUUUCCAUCUUUUGCGUUAUUUUGCCGGUUAUUAGUGUGAGUGCUCAUUACUGUAUAUUUACGAUUCUGUGAUUUCUCAAUAUGAUGCUGAGUAGGUAUAGAUGAGCAUCUACAACCCUUUCAAAACAGAAAUUUAUAAGUUCAUUUCAGGUACCUAUUAAAUUUUAUUUUAAGGAUGAAUUUGAAAUGCCUGUAGGGAAUAUAUGUGUAAAAAAUAAAAUUGGUAUUGUAAAAUUGAAAUUCUCAAAAUAUAAUUUAUAAUUCAAAUGUAUUAUUAUUUUUUUCCUCUAUAGAAAAGUCCUCUUAUUAGUUUUCUCAUUAGCUCUUUUGACAAGACAUCAGUACUUCGUUUUUUAGAUUUCUCACAAGGAUUCAGAUCCGGAAGAUCCUGCGUAGACGCCAGUACUUACUUAAUUACUUAUUCCUCUUCACUCCAUGCGGAGCAUAGGGCGUCAACUAUCUGUCUCCAUUCUGUCUUAUCCUUUGCACUGAUCUUUAUUUCUGUCCAGGUUUUCCCAAUAGGGCUUUUCAUUCACAGUCAUUUGUUUCGAGCUUCUGUCAUAUGUCGUAUAAUCCGUGUAUAUUCAUAGAUAUAACAGAAUAGAUUAGGCCAGUUCGAAAAAUAGCGUAACGCUGAACAGUUCGAGUCAGUGGUCUAUCUUUCUCUCUCUAGCAUAUGAUGGCUGCCGCCUCUGUGUAACUGUCGUUCCAUUACUCCCACCUCUUGGUAGAUACACUCGCACGACAGACAAAGAUAGCUAGACCACCGUACUUGAUAUCAGCGUUACACCCCGAUGCAUUGAGUGGCAUAUGACUAGCCUGAUCUAUUGUUGACAUAUCUCUGUGUAUAUUAGUAUUAUACACAGAUUAUACGACAUAUGACAGCAGCUUGAAGCAAAUGACAAUCAAUGAAAAGCCCUAUAGCAUUAAUUUCUUUUUCAACACUUCUUUUCCACAUUUCUACGGGUCUACCUGGUCUUCUCUUUCCAUGUGGUAUAUAUUCUAGGGCUUGCCUCACUAUGGCUGUGUCAGGUCUCCUUAGUGUGUGCUCCAUCCAACUCCAUUUCCUUUUGCAUAUUAUCUUAGAUAUACAUAGGUUUCUGGUUAGUUCUUGUCCAUAGCUCUUGGUUUGAUAUAUGGUUUGGCCAGUAAAUGUUAAGAAUCUUCCUUAGGCAUUAAUUUAUGAAUACCUGCAUCUGUCCAAUACAUUUUCUUGACACUUUCCAAGUUUCUGCUCCAUAUAGUAAUACAGUCUUCACGUUGCUGUUGAAUAGUCUUUCGGUUUUAAUUGUCAUCUGAUGUGAAGGCCACAUUUUCCUUAGCAUAUUGAAUGCGUUUGUAGCGUAGACGCUGUUGUAUUAAUGAAACUUAAAAGCAUAUUGGAGAUUUAUAGAUGCAUUUAUUAUACAAUUCUUGUAGAUACAACCAUAGAGGUAUAUAUUGACAUAGAGAGAGUGUCAUUCGGAGCGAAGUGACGACACCAUCUUUUUUCUUUGGAUUAGUGCUACUUCACUCUUACACAUAGUAAAGCUGCGACAGUAUGAUAAACGUCAUUUUUAAGUUAGGAGAAGUACGAAGUUAGCUGAUGUCUUUCCUGUUAUUUUUAUUUAGUCACUGUUUACAUUGGACAUUGACAUUUAUUUGUAAUUUGUAGAUGUUUUUAGAGGAAUAUUCUGUUUGGUUUUGUUUUUUAUUUUUAAUUGUGCAGCGAAAUUGUGAUAGUAAAUUAAAUAUAAAGUUGUUUAUAGCCUACAGAACUGAAUUAUCCCAUAGUAAUUAUCAGUUUGUGUCAAUUUGUUUGUGUGUAAAAAAGAAAAAACACCUUUCCUUGUGUUUGACCGACUUGUAGCAAGGGCUUUCUUGAGAAGCCUGUAAAUUGCGGGAAUAGGACAGACAGGGAUAAAAUCCUCACUUUUUACUGUUCCCAAGGCUAUACAUUUCCCCCAUGCAAUACAUUUAAAUGAAUUUUAUCCAAACAAAGGCAGGAACAUUGGAUAAAAGCAAUAAAGAGAACAGACCACAAAUUAAAAUAUGAGAGUAUGUAGUAAACAUUUUAUAAGUGGAAUAAACACCAGCUAUUUUAAAUGUAGGAAAAGGAGAAACUGCUAGAAUCUAAUUUUACACAAAUGUUUUUGACUAUUGAAGAUUUGGAUAAACAACAGAAGUUACUUUGGGCUAUAGCUAUGUGCAGAUUUAUUUCCUUGUGGAUUACUAUGUUUAUUCUUUUUAACUAUACUUCCUAUAUUGUUUGUGAGAUUAAUAUUAUUUAAUUGAUUAUAUUAAUAUUUUGUAAUAAUAAUCAAUGCUUUGGUUUAACAAAUAGACAACUUAGAAUAGAAAAA